UCCCCUCGGGCCAGACUAGUGCCUCUGCCC
rnacentral:piRNA from 1 species